CCCUUAGAUGUUCUGGGCCGCACGCGCGCUACACUGAUGCAUUCAACGAGUCUAAAACCUGCUCUGAUAGGGGUGGGUAAUCUUUUGAAUGUGCAUCGUGAUUGGGAUAGAUGAUUGCAAUUUUUCAUCUUCAACGAGGAAUGCCUAGUAAACGCAAGUCAUCAGCUUGCAUUGAUUACGUCCCUGCCCUUUGUACACACCGCCCGUCGCUCCUACCGAUUGAAUGAUCCGAUGAAUAUCAUGGAUUGAGGAUGCAAGUAGGUUAGCCUAUCUUCACCUUCGAGAAGUGAAGUAAAUCUUAUCAUUUAGAGGAAGGAGAAGUCGUAACA
rnacentral:rRNA from 1 species